CAGGGGUCCUACUGAUCCUCCAUCUCUGAGCUUCAGGGAGGCCUUCUGAUUGGCCAGCCUCUGCAGCAAGGGUGUUUGCAAUUGGUUGGAGCAAAUCUAUUUUGUGCUUCAAUUCCCAGCCGAAUACGUUUUGGUCGAUCAAAAGUCUAUUCCGUGUCUUUUGGACGUUUGGGGAACCCCUCCACGUGGAGUGUGUGCGGUGGGAGCAGCUCAAACCAGGCGGGCACCACGCACACUCCACGCUGCGUCAGCUGUUAAUGUCAUGUGUCUCCCAGAGACACGCUGGUGGUUCCCUGGUGGACCGACUGGUACUGAGGGGGGCCAACGAGAGGUGAGGCGGGGUACCCCCCCCCCUCAGGGGCCCCAGGGGAGGGGGGGGGUCAGCAGUGGCUGGCCUCGAUGGGGGACAGGGUCAGGAUACUGCGGUCGUUGGAGUAGAGGUUCUCCGGGUCGCUCCACGACCUGAAAGCAGGAGCAGUGGAGAAGGUUAGAAGGCUGGCAGGGAGAGAGAGGCCCAAUCAGAGAGAGCCCCGUGUGUGGCCCAAUCAGAGAGAGCCCUGUGUGGCCCAGUCAGAGAGAGCCCUGUGUGAGGCCCAGUCAGAGAGAGAGCCCUGUGUGAGGCCCAGUCAGAGAGAGCCCUGUGUGAGGCCCAAUCAGAGAGAGCCCUGUGUGAGGCCCAAUCAGAGAGAGCCCUGUGUGAGGCCCAAUCAGAGAGAGCCCUGUGUGAGGCCCAAUCAGAGAGAGCCCUGUGUGAGGCCCAAUCAGAGAGGGCCCCUUGUGUGUGGGCCCAAU
ensembl:lncRNA